AAAAAUUCUGUGAUAGGAAAGAGUAGUUAGAAUGAAGUAUUUAAAGAGAGCUGAGGGUGGUGAGAUCUCAGUAGUACAGACUCUAAUGAAUGGAUCCUUAAGAUGUAUUGCGAAAUCAAAUGGAGAGUAGCAUUUGCCGGAAGCCUACCGUUAUCUAAGGACAGGAUAUGUUAGUAUCCCGUGAAAGAGAUGUGCUUUUUGCACAAUUUAGGUGGUACCGCGAAUUCAACCUUCGCCCUAUUU
rnacentral:ncRNA from 1 species